rnacentral:rRNA from 1 species
AUCUUAACGACGCCCGUCGUNAUGNCAUCCUAACAUUGGNACGUUGGNUUCUAUAGAGAUCUCACACUGAGACCGCUCGUUUNACAGCCUAACACAUGCAAGUCGAACGGCAGCACAGGAGAGCUUGCUCUCUGGGUGACGAGUGGCGGACGGGUGAGGAAUACAUCGGAAUCUACUCUGUCGUGGGGGAUAACGUAGGAAACUUACGCUAAUACCGCAUACGACCUACGGGUGAAAGCAGGGGAUCUUCGGACCUUGCGCGAUUGAAUGAGCCGAUGUCGGAUUAGCUAGUUGGCGGGGUAAAGGCCCACCAAGGCGACGAUCCGUAGCUGGUCUGAGAGGAUGAUCAGCCACACUGGAACUGAGACACGGUCCAGACUCCUACGGGAGUGCAGCAGUGGGGAAUAUUUGGACAAUGGGCGCAAGCCUGAUCCCAGCCAUACCGCGUGGGUGAAGAAGGCCUUCCGGGGUUGUAAAAGCCCUUUUUGUUUGGGAAAGGAAUCCAGCUNGGCUAAUACUUGGUUGGGAUGACGGUACCCCAAAAGGAAUAAGCCACCCGGGCUAAACUUCGNUGCCAGCAGCCGGCCGGUAACUAACGAAGGGGUGCAAAGCGUUANCUUCCGGGAAUUAUACCUGGGGCGGUAAAAGCGUAGCGUAAGUAGGCCCNGCUUAAAGUUCCCGUUGUUGUGAAAGNCCCCUGGGGCUUCACCCUCGGG